UGGCCAGGCUGAGUGUUUCAGCUGCUACCGGUUUCACAUGGCUGUGGUGGAUCCAGGCUGGGAUUCCCUCUACCUUUACAGCUGUGGGGGUGGUGAGGAUCAUGGUCUGGGGUCCGUUCCACCAUGGCUUCAGAGGGGCUGCACUCCAAUCCUUUAUCCACACAUGAUCACCUGGUGAGAAAGGGUGAACUGGGGGGAAUAAGCUUACAGGACAUCUGUCAUUUACCCAGGUUGAAAUAUCCCGAGUGAUUUUCCCUAGAGCUUGUAACUGGCAUCCUAACUCAAAUCUCUCCCCACUCCCGAGGAGUUCCAGGGAGUGCCCGGAGUAUGGGAGGGGACCUACGAUAUGAAAGGGGGAAUAUCCUGAU